rnacentral:ncRNA from 1 species
GAAGGAAGAUGGUAAUUAAGGAAAAAACUCAGGAAGGCAGGGAAAUGGGCAAGAAGGAAUAGAGGAAAGCAGAAAGUCAAGAAGGCACGAGGGCAGAAAAAGGGAAUUGAAGUAUGUAAGUACAUAAAGUGAGGACAGAGGGCAAUAAAGAAAGGAGGAAGUAGGAAGGAAAGUAGAAAGAAGUAAAGGGAGGAAGGGAGGGAGAGGAAGGAAUGCAAAAGAAGGAAGGAAUGUGAAAGAAGGAUGAAAGGUGGGCAGGUAGCAUAUCUGUAGAUAUUGUACAUAUCUUUGUAAGUUAUGUGCAAACUCAUUUGAAUGUAAAUAAAUUACAUUUAUGGGUUGUCAUGAUCUAGGGAGAUGGAUGCUCAUCAGAAGUAAUGGAGGUAAAAGGGAUAGUAGGUAGGGAGUAAGAGGGAACUUGGUAAUCACGCUGCAUAAUCUUAUCUGCCAACAAAAUCAACCAGCUUUACCUAGGUGGACAGGCCACCUUACUUCGGCCAGAAAAGGAAUGUGUAAUUUAGGUAUGUGAUAAUAAAUAGCCAAAUGCCUCAUCAUCCAGUUAGUGAUGUGCAUGAAUGGAUGAAUGAGAUUCCCACUGUCCCUACUUACUGUCCAGUGAAACCACAGCCAAGAGAACAGACUUGGUGGAACCAGCUGGGAAAGACGACCCUGUUGAGCAUCACUCUAAUCCAGUGCUGUGAAGAGACAUCAGAGCUGUAGAAUAAAUGAGAAGCCCCACGGUUGUGCAGCUCAGGCCAUAGUCCAGUUGCCAGUGAAAUACUGCUGAUCAUUUUUUCCACUUACCCAGUGAGGUGUAUGUGGAGGGGUAAGCCCCAAAGGGCUCUCACUUCUGAUGCCAAGUGCCCAGCAUGAGCUGCUCUGGUGACAGUGUCAGGUGGGGAGUUUGACUGGGGCAGUACGGCUGUCAAACCAUAACACAGGUGUCCUAAGGUGAGCUCAGGGAGGACAGAAACAUCCUGCGGUGCAGAAGAUCAAGGCUUGAUCUUGAUUUUCAGUACGAGUAUCGCCCAUGAAAGCAGGGCCUCACCAUCCUUCUGACUUUUUGGGUUUUAAGCAGGCAUUCAGGCGACAGUGGAUGAGGAACACCAGGCAUGAGUCUCCAUGUAUGGAACUUGGGCAUCUAGGAUGUUCUGCUCUGUCCCCCAAGAACCUGGGGAAUUCAGGCUGUUCCUGCAAGGACUGGUCACACUGGGGAAGAUGAGGCUGGCUGGGCAACCCCACCACAUCUCUCCCCUAGUGGCCCCUGAGGAGAAGGCCCAGAGAGGUCUCACCCUCCAGCUGUGGGGCAGGGAACCCAUUUUCCAUAGGGGGAGCAGGGCUGGGACUUCCACCAUGACAGACCCUGCAGGGCUAGGAGCAAGGGUGUGGAGGGGAGUGGAAAAAUCAGUCCUCUCUCCCUGGUCUGCCCCUGGCAGUUGUCCCCUGCCCAGCAUCCCCUUAACAGCCCCACAUCCCUCCCAGAUGAUACCCAAGGCCUGAGAAGAGCCAUGUAUCUCCAAAACAAUCCCACAAACCUCCACAUCACCCCUCAAGCCCCAAUAGCAGUCCCACAUCUGCCUUCUGCUGGGCACCAGAUGUUACCACCUUCAUCAACAUGCAGGCAUUCUGUCUUGCACCUGCUCCCAGAAACACCAGCCCCAUCUCUCUGUGUGGGCUGGUGCCCUGCCCGCUUUCCCAUCCCUCCCCAUACCUCUUACUGUUCCCUGAACUGCCCAGGAAGGAAAAGCCUCUUUGCAGGGCAGACUGCAUGGGUGAGGAUCCCAAACCCACACCGAUUCAGUAAUAACUCCUGGGAUGAGCACAUCCAGGUCACAUCCUCCUCACUCAAGAAUGUCCUGCUCUCCCUUCAGACCCAUGUUCCCCAGAGACAACAAGGAGGCUUGUGCUAGAAGAAAACUGUUUCAUUUUUCAACAGAACUUUUUUCAACCCUUGUUUCUCAGGGUUUUCUUUUUUGCAAAGAUAAAGUAUUAUCUGAACAACCUCUGCAUAUAUAUAUAUAUAUAUAUCUCAUAAGUGUGUGUGUCUGUGUGUGUGCGUGCAUACAUUUAUACACUUAAAAACAGUCCCGCAAACUUGUGCCGCUCAUAGCAGCCCAUCCUGCUUCACA